rnacentral:rRNA from 1 species
AUUGAACGCUGGCGGCAGGCUUAACACAUGCAAGUCGAACGAGUGGCGGACGGGUGAGUAAUGUCUGGGAAACUGCCUGUUGGAGGGGGAUAACUAGUGGAAACGGUAGCUAAUACCGCAUACCCUCUGAUUUGCCCAGAUGGGAUUAGCUAGUUGGGGGGGUAACGACUCACCAAGGCGACGAUCCCUAGCUGGUCUGAGAGGAGGACCUGCCACACUGCAACGGAGACGAGGCCCAGACUACAACGGGAGGCAGGGGAGGAGAGUAGUGCACAAUGGGCGGAAGCCUAGUGCGACCAUGCCGCGUAGAUUAAGAAGGCCUUCGGGUUGGAAACUACUUUCAGCGGGGAAGCGGUACCCGAAGAAGAAGCACCGGCUAACUCCGUGCCAGCAGCCGCGGUAAUUC